GAUGAACGCUGACAGAAUGCUUAACACAUGCAAGUCAACUUGAACUUCGGUUUGGGUGGCGGACGGGUGAGUAACGCGUAAAGAACUUGCCUCACAGCUAGGGACAACAUUUGGAAACGAAUGCUAAUACCUGAUAUUAUGACUUUAGGGCAUCCUAGAAUUAUGAAAGCUAUAUGCGCUGUGAGAGAGCUUUGCGUCCCAUUAGCUAGUUGGAGAGGUAACGGCUCACCAAGGCGAUGAUGGGUAGCCGGCCUGAGAGGGUGAUCGGCCACAAGGGGACUGAGACACGGCCCUUACUCCUACGGGAGGCAGCAGUGGGGAAUAUUGGACAAUGGACCAAGAGUCUGAUCCAGCAAUUCUGUGUGCACGAUGAAGUUUUUCGGAAUGUAAAGUGCUUUCAGUUGGGAAGAAAAAAAUGACGGUACCAACAGAAGAAGUGACGGCUAAAUACGUGCCAGCAGCCGCGGUAAUACGUAUGUCACAAGCGUUAUCCGGAUUUAUUGGGCGUAAAGCGCGUCUAGGUGGUUAUAUAAGUCUGAUGUGAAAAUGCAGGGCUCAACUCUGUAUUGCGUUGGAAACUGUGUAACUAGAGUACUGGAGAGGUAAGCGGAACUACAAGUGUAGAGGUGAAAUUCGUAGAUAUUUGUAGGAAUGCCGAUGGGGGAAGCCAGCUUACUGGACAGAUACUGGACGCUGAAGCGCGAAACCGAGGGUAGCAAAGAGGAUAGGAAACCCUAGUAAGCCGGGGCGAAUUCUCAGGGAUAUGAAGCUAAGCGAUGCGUCACCCCGAGGGGGGUUAUAGUUUUCUUAAAAUAUAAUAUAGUUGGGGG
rnacentral:rRNA from 1 species